UACGAAGGGAGCUAGCGUUGUUCGGAAUUACUGGGCGUAAAGGGCGCGUAGGCGGCUCUGUAAGUCAGAUGUGAAAGCCCCGGGCUUAACCUGGGAACUGCAUUUGAUACUGCAGAGCUAGAGAUCGAGAGAGGAAAGUGGAAUUACGAGUGUAGAAGUGAAAUUCGUAGAUAUUCGUAGGAACACCAGUGGCGAAGGCGACUUUCUGGCUCGAUACUGACGCUAAAGCGCGAAAGCGUGGGGAGCAAACAGG
rnacentral:rRNA from 1 species